CCUACGGGGCGCAGCAGUGAGGAAUAUUGGUCAAUGGGCGGGAGCCUGAACCAGCCAAGCCGCGUGAAGGAAGAAGGCGCCAAGCGUCGUAAACUUCUUUUGUCGGGGAACAAAGGGCGCCACGUGUGGCGUUGUGAGUGUACCCGAAGAAAAAGCAUCGGCUAACUCCGUGCCAGCAGCCGCGGUAAUACGGAGGAUGCGAGCGUUAUCCGGAUUUAUUGGGUUUAAAGGGUGCGCAGGCGGAAGCGCAAGUCAGCGGUAAAAUUGAGAGGCUCAACCUCUUCCCGCCGUUGAAACUGCGUUUC
rnacentral:rRNA from 1 species